UGCCAAGCAGCCGCGGUAAUUCCAGCUCCAAUAGCGUAUAUUAAAGUUGUUGCGGUAAAAAAGCUCGUAGUUGGAUUUCUGUUGAGAGCGACCGGUCCAUACCAUGUAUGCGUAUCUGGCUUGCUCUCGGCAUCCUCUCGAUGGACGUUGCUGCGCUUGAUUGCGUGGCGCGGACCUCGGGACUUUUACUUUGAGGAAAUUAGAGUGUUCACGGCAGGCUUUCGCCAGAAUACAUUAGCAUGGAAUAAUACUAUAGGAUCUCGGUUCUAUUUUGUUGGUUUCUAGAAUUGAGAUAAUGAUUAAUAGGGACAAUUGGGGGCAUUCGUAUCAACACGUCAGAGGUGGAAUUCUUGGAUUGUGUUGCGACGAACUACUGCGAAAGCAUUUGCCAAGGAUGUUUUCAUUGAUCAAGAACGAAAGUAAGGGGAUCGAAGACGAUUAGAUACCGUCGUAGUCUUUACCAUAAACUAUGCCGACUAGAGAUGGGACAUCGUUCAUUUACGACUUGUUCCGCACCUUAUGAGAUAUCAAAGUUUUUGGGUUCCGGGGGGAGUAUGGUCGCAAGAUUGAAACUUAAAGGAAUUGACGGAAGGGCACCACCAGGAGUGGAGCCUGCGGCUUAAUUUGACUCAACACGGGGAAACUCACCAGGUCCAGACAUAAUAAGGAUUGACAGAUUGAUAGCUCUUUCUUGAUUUUAUGGGUGGUGGUGCAUGGCCGUUCUUAGUUCGUGGAGUGAUUUGUCUGCUUAAUUGCGUUAACGAACGAGACCUUAACCUGCUAAAUAGGAGCACCUAUCUUCGGAUAAGUGUUUUUCUUCUUAGAGGGACUUUAUGCGUUUCAGCAUGAGGAAGUUUGAGGCUAAAACAGGUCUGUGAUGCCC
rnacentral:rRNA from 1 species